rnacentral:misc_RNA from 1 species
AUACUCUAUAAGGAGCCUUCCUGCCAAAUUUCAAGUUUGUAGGUGUUAUAGUUUCGGAGAUUUCGUGAUGAAUGACCUUUCGCGUUUAUAUAUAUUACUAGCUGUGCCCGCGGCUUCGCCCGCGUUGAAAUCAGUGUGUCACAAAGUUUUCCCGGCAAACUUCCAGUGAAACUCUCAUCAAAAUCGGCUUAGCCGUUCAGUAGAUUUUGAGGAAAUCGAUCA